rnacentral:rRNA from 2 species
UAAUACGUAGGUGGCGAGCGUUAUCCGGAAUUAUUGGGCGUAAAGAGCGCGCAGGUGGUUGAUUAAGUCUGAUGUGAAAGCCCACGGCUUAACCGUGGAGGGUCAUUGGAAACUGGUCGACUUGAGUGCAGAAGAGGGAAGUGGAAUUCCAUGUGUAGCGGUGAAAUGCGUAGAGAUAUGGAGGAACACCAGUGGCGAAGGCGGCUUCCUGGUCUGUAACUGACACUGAGGCGCGAAAGCGUGGGGAGCAAACAGG